CACUAAAGCUAGUUACUGCACUGUGCAAAUUUCCAUAUGGAAAAUCUACAAGGAGUACUAUAUCAGGUCAAGUGAAAAGUUCUCUUACUCUUCCUCCACAAUUGAGAAAGACGCAACCAAGCUGAAGGAGAGCCAAAAGAUGGAAUAAGCAAAAUUAUAGCAUACAGAAGUAUUCAUCCUGCGUUGCAGAGUGGUUUGGGGAAAAAGGCUAGUAUACUCUGUGGCUAUCACGUGAAGACGUAAAGAUUCUGUACUUAGGAAACUUCAUCUACUUGAAGUUUGAGAUAUGUGUCAUAGAGAUACAAUGUUCUGUUACUUAAUUUUCUUUUCAGUAGUCUCUGUACUUCAUUCCAAUCCGCUGAAUGGGAGCAGCAAUGGGGAAAAGAGAGAUGGGAAACCACAAGGAAAUAAUAACUACAGUUGUGUGUUGAUGUCUGAACAGGAAAGGAAUUUAAUCCCUGUAGUUUUGGAAAAACUCCUGAAGAUAUAUAUAGAAGAUGAUAAAGCUUCUGGAUGAUUAACUUUUGUUGUUAUUAUUUUGUUUUGUAUACUGAAUUGUUCUGUGAAUUAAUGUUCAUCUGGUUUACAUAUUUAGCAAGUCAAACAUUUCAAUAUGUAGUCAAUGAAGUUCUACCUUAUACAGUAGAUGGUAAACAGAUGUGCCUGAAUGGAGCUUGUUACAACUUGUCUGUCAACAAAUUUUAACCUGUAAUUAAGCAGGAUUGAGGGCUGCAAUCAGAAUAUUGCAUUUAGGUUUUAUAUUACAUUUAGAUAAUACAAGGGGAAAUUUACUGUGCUAUCUUCAACUCCCUAUAAUCUUUCUACCUUUGGUUUCCUAGGCCUUUCUCCCUGUCUCCUACUUGUCCUCCCAAGUCAGUUUUUGAGUUUACAUAGGGAAAGACUAUCAAAAUACUUAUUUUCAAGGGUACUGCUUUUAAUGUGGUAUAUAUCAUCUGACAUAGGCCAUACAGAUGAAAAUAGAAGAAAUAUAGCAACUGGAUGAACAAUGAUAAUAGUUUGAGAGUUAGAAUAGGUAGUUAAAUUAAAUAAUAAUAAUAAUAAUAAUAAUAAUAAUAAUAAUAAUAAUAAUAAUAAUAAUAAUGUCUUUUAAGCAGUGCAUUUUAAACAUAAACAAUUAGUUUAGCAAAUCAUAAUACUUUAAAGAUCAGUCUCUUUGCUAAAGCUAACACAGACUUCUAAUUACUUGAUAUAAUCAAAUAUUUGGAAAUAGGGAGCCCAAUUAAAUGUUUCCAAA
rnacentral:lncRNA from 1 species